AGAGAGUUGGCCGAGUGGCUUAAAGCAACAGGUUGCUAACUUGUCGGUCCUUCGCGGGACCCGUGGGUUCGAAUCCCACACUCUCUGCCA
rnacentral:tRNA from 1 species